CUGAGUGUGUGCAGUUGAGCCUUUUUUAAGACACUCUGCAGAACUUUCUUCAGCUUUUUGUAAGAACUGCACUGAGUAGAAAAUGCCAGGCCUAGAUUGCAGGAAAAUGCAGACAUGAGUAGCAAACCCACAAAGAUCUGGGGUUUGCAGUGGCUAACAACUUUGCAGCUCUGUCUUCAGAUGUCUUCCGCUUUCUACACUUUUUGCAUUCUUGAGCUCUUGUUUUCAGUGAAGUGAAGCACGGAGAGGACGAAGAAAGAUUUUUGCCGUCACUAAAUGAACUAAAAGACACAGAAUCUGCUCAAAAUUAAGGUCGACUUUCAGAAUGAAGGUGAUUGUGUUGUUUGUGUUUGUGCUGGGUGCACUCUCUGCAGCAGGUGAAGUUUUCUUUGCAAAAGUCGGGGAGAAAGUCACAUUGAAGUGUGGGGUCAGCAGCUACAUACGCUCUCUGCGGUGGCUUCAUGGAAAUGACCUUCUUUAUAGUGUUGAUCAGAGA